rnacentral:rRNA from 1 species
GACGGAGGAUGCAAGCGUUAUCCGGAAUUAUUGGGCGUAAAGCGUCCGCAGGUGGCUGUUCAAGUCUGCUGUCAAAGCGCAGAGCUUAACUCUGUACAGGCGGUGGAAACUGAAGCGCUAGAGUGCGGUAGGGGUAGAGGGAAUUCCCGGUGUAGCGGUGAAAUGCGUAGAGAUCGGGAAGAACAUCGGUGGCGAAAGCGCUCUACUGGACCGCAACUGACACUCAGGGACGAAAGCUAGGGGAGCGAAUGGG